AUUGGGUCAGUGAUGCUAACAAAAUCUGCGUUAUCUAUCUGCAAUUUCCAAUAUUGGAAUUUGAAGAUAAAUGAUAUGUUACUGAGAUCUGAU